UUAAGUUCAGCGGGUAUCCCUACCUGAUCCGAGGUCAAAAGUGAGAAGAUGUACUUGCUGGAUCGCCAACCUCUUUUGCUGGUUGCAAGCGCAAAAAGAAUCUGCUGCGCUCCGAAACCAGUAGGCCGGCUGCCAAUCAUUUUAAGGCGAGUCUUGCUGAGAGCAAGACAAAAAACGCCCAACACCAAGCAAAGCUUGAG
rnacentral:misc_RNA from 1 species